GAUGAACGCUGGCGGCGUGCCUAAUACAUGCAAGUCGAGCGAACAGACGAGGAGCUUGCUCCUCUGACGUUAGCGGCGGACGGGUGAGUAACACGUGGAUAACCUACCUAUAAGACUGGGAUAACUUCGGGAAACCGGAGCUAAUACCGGAUAAUAUAUUGAACCGCAUGGUUCAAUAGUGAAAGACGGUUUUGCUGUCACUUAUAGAUGGAUCCGCGCCGCAUUAGCUAGUUGGUAAGGUAACGGCUUACCAAGGCGACGAUGCGUAGCCGACCUGAGAGGGGGAUCGGCCACACUGGAACGGGGACACGUCCCAAACCCCAAGGGGAGGCCGCGGUAGGGAAUUUUCCGAAAUGGGGGAAAGCCUGACGGAGCAACGCCGGGGGGGGGAGAAAGGGCUUCGGAUCUUAAAACUCUUUUAUUGGGGAAAAAAAAAUGGGUAAGUAACUAUGCAGGUCUUGACGGUACCAAAUCAGAAAGCCCCGGCUAACUACGG
rnacentral:rRNA from 1 species